CUAGACAAGUUUUUUUUAAAAAAAAAUUCUGCCUCGAUGUCCGGUAUCCACGUCGACACCCCACUAAAUUCAAAUUCAAUGAAGGAGCACCUACCACUCCACCACAAGUCUAGUUGAUUAGACAAAUUCUUUGCCAAAAUUUUUAAGAUUCUUUCUACAUUUGAAUAUAUCUUUAUAAAUAGCCCUAAAACACUUUACUAACUCUUAGGUAGAACUAAUUUCACAACAAUACCCCAUGAAAACUCUUGUAUUAGUUUCAUGGCUUUGCCUCAUUAUAUUCUUGAAAACUUUGCCAUACUCAUCUUGCACCUCAAUCCCAAAAUCCACAGUUCAUGAACUCAUCUUAAAGAAUGAAAACAAAGGAAAAUUUGCAAAUGAUACAUUGCUUGAAUCAAGAAGUACAAAGAGCAACAAGGAUGAACAUAAAGAUGUGCAUAAAAUUGUUCAUCACAGAAAAGGAGCUUAUGGUGGACCAGACCUUCUUAGAAAAGGGCAUAAAAAGAAUGGAGCCAAUAGUCACAAUUUUGAAAGGCCAAUUUUAGUGUCUUCUUUGUUAUUUUCUCUUCAUGUUGCCUUCACUAUAUAAGAUGUGGGAUAAUAGAUUGUGAUAGUUGAAAAAAAAAAGGGGGUUUCUCUCUUGUGCACCUUUUAGAUUUUAUAUAUAUUCUCAUUUUACUAUUGAGCAUAUGGAAUUUUUCUUCCCCUAGCUAAAAUAUUAAGUCCAUUUGUAGUUAACAACGUGUUUCGAUUGUUAUUUUUCAUCGUCUAAUAAUGUAUCAUACUGUAUUAUGCUAGUGCAACAAUGUUUGAAAGAUUGUUCUACUUGUUGUCACUUAAUAACAUUUUUCUCGUUUGAUUUACUGUAA